rnacentral:rRNA from 1 species
UGGGGAAUAUUGCACAAUGGGCGCAAGCCUGAUGCAGCCAUGCCGCGUGUAUGAAGAAGGCCUUCGGGUUGUAAAGUACUUUCAGCGGGGAGGAAGGGAGUAAAGUUAAUACCUUUGCUCAUUGACGUUACCCGCAGAAGAAGCACCGGCUAACUCCGUGCCAGCAGCCGCGGUAAUACGGAGGGUGCAAGCGUUAAUCGGAAUUACUGGGCGUAAAGCGCACGCAGGCGGUUUGUUAAGUCAGAUGUGAAAUCCCCGGGCUCAACCUGGGAACUGCAUCUGGUACUGGCAAGCUUGAGUCUCGGAGAGGGGGGUAGAAUUCCAGGUGUAGCGGUGAAAUGCGUAGAGAUCUGGAGGAAUACCGGUGGCGAAGGCGGCCCCCUGGACGAAGACUGACGCUCAGGUGCGAAAGCGUGGGGAGCAAACAGG